CAAUUAGCUAUGCUCCAGCCAUGUACCACAGGUGGCUUGUCACCGCAGGAUGCCAGGACUGUCAUGGCCAAGGCAGUAUAAGGUUUAUUAUAGUGUUUUCUAGGUACACAGGGGAGUGUGGCAGGCAGAAUAAGGACUCCCCAAGUGAGUCCUGUUCUAAUCCGCAGAGCCUGGGAAUAUGUUAGCUCCCUGGUGGGAGUCCGAGGGGAUUAAGGUGCAGAUGGAACAAGUUUGAUUAUCAGCCGAACUCGAGGCAGGAGAAUUAACCAUGGGUUAUCUGGAUGGGCCUGGUAUAAUCAAAGGGUUCAGAGUUAAAGAGGGAGGUGGGAGGGCCAAGGUCAGAGCAACGCCUGUGCACAGGCCAUGCUGUGGUGGGCUUUGGAGAUGCAGGAAGGAGUCACAGGCUGAGGAAGAUGGUGGCCUGUGAAGGAAGCAGGAACGGGCAAGGGAACAUUCUCCCUGGAACCUCCAGCAGGCAUACGUCCUGGUGACACCUUGGUUUGAGCCCAGCAGGGUCAUUUCAGACUCUACCUCCAGAAGUAUAAGGUAAUAAACUUGCGUUGUUUCAAAACAUUUAUUUGGGGCAAAUUAAAGCUAAUACAGGGAGGAAUGGAUUUUUUAAAAUCUUUCACAUUGGUUGACCACAGAUGGAAGGUGAGGGAUGUUGUAAUUUUCAAUAAAUUUCCCUGUUCAGAAUUGUUGGUUGUUGGGCUGGGGAUGUAGCUCAAGCGGUAGCGCACUUGCCUGGCAUGCGUGCAGCCCGGGUUCGAUCCUCAGCACCACAUACAAACAAAGAUAUUGUGUCUGCUGAAAACUAAAAAAAAUAAUAAUAAUAAUAAAUAUUAAAAUUCUAAAAAAAAAAUAAAUAAAUAAAGAGAAUUGUUGGUUCUUCCUACCAGAUCAAGCCCAAACUUCUUAUUUCUCCCAACAUUUGACAGCUUCUAAGAACUGAUCCUACAGGACCUUAAUACUACAGAACUGCUCCAUGCAAAACCCAGACUUCGGGGUGCAAAGCCAUGCUCGUCUCCAGAACACACCCCUUUCUGGGGUCUCCUCGUUUUGCUCUGUGACUCCAUCCUACUUACCCAGCAUCUCUGCCUUUUCUCCCUGUGUUUCCCGGAAUGGCCUGUCUUUCCCCUGCUACCGACUCCUCCUGACCUGUCAGCCCCACCUCCCUGGUCCCCAGUCUGGAUGUAGUUGCUACAGGGGCAGAAGUCCUGUUCUCCUGACCUACUGCUCCUUUUGCACCCACGGUUUUUUAUUGCCCUCACAACUGGCUUAACUCCAUCACUUUAUGCAUACUCUUUACACUGAUGAGUCUGAAGACAUUUUUAUCCUAAACAUUUCCAACACCAAAUAAAUUGCUGUGUUUUUUUACCCCCAUAUCAACCAAUUAGAUGAGCGGUCACCCAUGAGACUCCCUCCCCUAAACAGCCUUCUCGUACCCUGGUCUCUGUGUGGGAGGGGCCACUCAUCCAUGGGCGACAGCCCACUCACGGAAUGUUGCUGCUAUUAAUCAUUUUUAAGAAGGAACAUGACACAAGUAAUAACCUGUUUGGCAAAGUCCCUUCGUGGUGUGUAAUUAUUUUUUUUCUGGCCGCAGAACGAUGAUUGUAAUGUUGGUUGCCUUGAUGCUUUUCUUGCUGCUCCAGAACUGAUGGCUGCAGUGAAAUAACCUCAGGUGGGUUGCCAGGCCAGGGAAUGUAGUCCAGCGUAGAGUGUCUCCUUAGCAUGCCCGAAACCUGGGUUCAUUCACCACCACCAAAAAAAAAAAUCCCCUAAAUACAAACGAACAAACAAAAACCACAUCUUCCUCAAUUGAAGUUUCUGUAUGUGUCCCACAUCUGGAUGAUGGGACUUAAUGGGUUAAAUGGCUUCAAUAUUAAUGAAAGUUCACCAUCUUGAACUCAUGAUGGUCCAUGGGCAUGGUGGCAGCUCUGCAAACACCAGGGAGAGUUGUGGAUUUAAAUUUAGGCGCGAGCAAGAAUAAGAAAUGUGAAUGCUGUCAGAUCCAAGUGGAGUCAGUGGUACCAGAGCCUCGCCAGCUGGCGGUGGGAAGUCCAGACAGGGCCUCCCAGGCAUGCUCCGAUGGAACCCAGGGAAGGGCUCCCAGCACCAAGCCUACACCUAGAGCACCUGGGAGCAGGCCUACCCAGCAGCAGCCUGCUUUAUCCUGGACAGCUGCCUCUCCUGUUACUGGCCCACGAGGCCAAGAAUUAUUGAUUUGCAAUUUACGUGACCUUCCUCCUUUCACCUUCAAAAUCACUUGUCUUGCUUUGCCUCUGGGUAUGCCCAUGGCCACUGGGGCAUAUCAUAGCACAUGUAUUCCAUGAUGGCCAUCUCCUGUCAUUUAUUUCCAAAUAACUUCCUCUCUCUGAAGAGCCUAUCUCUGUUGGUAUUUUAGGUUGUUGUUAAAUAUGGCAACUUCCAAAAUUAAUUCAUUAAGUCCCAAGUUUUUAGUUCUUUAAAUAUUUUGGCAAAAUUGACACAGGUACCAUAAAAUAGGUUGGAAGUAAUUUAUAGCCUAUAUAUAUUUUCUCAUGUAUAUGGAAAUAUAAUUAUUCUUUCAAAUGCACCAGUCAUGUUAAUUUUCUCAAAAGAAUAGAACCCUAACACAAUAUUCAUUCCAAAAGUUACAAAUGGUGCAUUCGUUGCUCAAUUUAAGUUUCUGUAUGUGUCCCACAUCUGGGAUGAUGGGACUUAAUGGGUUAAAUGCCUUCAAUAUUAAUGAAAGUUCACCUCCAAAGGAGAAGGAGAAUUAGACCAUUCAGGUGAAAUGGAGGAAAUCUUAGAAAGAUACUCAAAGUGUCUCAAGAGGAAAUAGGAACUCUGAAUAGCUUAUGACCAGUAAAGAAACUUAAUAGUCACUAAAAAUACACCCACAGAGAAAACUCGAGGCCCAGAUGGCUGCAUGGUGAGUUUUAUCAAGGACUUAGAGAAGGACUAAUAUUUACCCUUCACACAUUUUUUUCAGAAAAUGGCAGAGGAGCAGACCACUUUGCAACUCCACCAUAAGGCUGGUGUGACCUGGUUCCAAAGCCAGACAUGACAAGAAAACCACAGACAAGUAUCCGUCAUGAACAUAGAGGCCAAGAUACUACCAAACCUAAUUCAUAUAAAACAAAUACAUAAAAAGGGUCCUACAUCGUGACCAAGUGGGAUUUGUCCCAGGAAAGCAGGAUUGGUUAAACAUCUCAAAAUCAAUUGAUAAAAAAGAGUCAUUUUCCAACACCAACCGGGUGUUCUUUUCUAUUCAGCCCUAGCACAGACCCCACAAGUUAAAGGCUCGGUCCCAUAAGACUCCCCCUCUUCAGAUACAAGAAGGGCAUGUUUGAUAUUUGCUAGUACAACUCACAGAACUCAGCCAAGUGCUAACUUACUGACAUGGCUUUGUGUUCAUAAAGAAUACAACGCAGGAACAGCCAGAUGGAAGCCAAGCAUGGGGGCAAGCUGGUUUGGGGAUUGGAACAUGAGUUUCAAAGGCCUCUGGUACACUGCGCUGUCAAGACACAGAAGUGUUCAACAAUCCGGACGCCCCCUGUAGGUGUGCUUGAUGGAAUCAUUAUCCCCUGGUAACUGAGUCCCAGCGUGCACCCACCCCAGAGGAAAAGCUGAGAAGCUCCAACAUAUGAUACUGUGUAGUUGGUUUCCCAGGCAACCAGCCCCUGUCUAGAAGCAACUUAAGUCACCUCAUUAACAGGUAGAGGUGCUCCUGGGCUUGCGGUGAGGAGUAUGUUCUGAUAAACCUGUUGUAAGUUGAGAAUAUUGUAAGUUGAAAUGUAUUUAUAACUUACCAAGCAUCACCACAACAGAAGUCUGUAGAGUUAUCUGUGUUUACCCUGAGGCUGUAGGACUGCCUUUUGUGGCUCUGCCCUCCUGCCCAGCAAGCUUCGCAAGAAAAGAUCAUACCUCCUGCCAUUAGCCUGGAAAAGAGCAAAGUUCAAAAUUCAAAGUAUUUCUAUUGAGUGUACCUGGCUUUUUUUUUUUUUUUUAACCAUUGUGAAUGUAGAAAAUCCUAAAUUGAACAUCCUAAUUUGGGACCAUUGAACUCACCUGUGGUCACUAUGAAUAACAAAAGAUACUCCUGACAUCAGGACAUUCCUGGGGUUUUAGGAACUUUGUGCCAGGAACUGGGGACAAAGACCAAAAUACACACACAC
rnacentral:lncRNA from 1 species